GGCGUAGCGCAGUCCGGUAGCGCGCCUGCUUUGGGAGCAGGUGGUCGCAGGUUCGAAUCCUGUCGCC
rnacentral:tRNA from 1 species